rnacentral:rRNA from 1 species
UACAGAGGUCUCAAGCGUUGUUCGGAUUCAUUGGGCGUAAAGGGUGUGUAGGUGGCGCGCUAAGUCGGGUGUGAAAUUUCGGAGCUCAACUCCGAAACUGCAUUCGAUACUGGCGUGCUUGAGGACUGGAGAGGAGACUGGAAUUUACGGUGUAGCAGUGAAAUGCGUAGAUAUCGUAAGGAAGACCAGUGGCGAAGGCGGGUCUCUGGACAGUUCCUGACACUGAGACACGAAGGCCAGGGGAGCAAACGGG